rnacentral:ncRNA from 1 species
UGAUUGUCACCGCAAUGGUAAUUCAGCUUAGUACGAGAGGAACCGCUGAUUCAGAUAAUUGGUUUUUGCGGCUGUCUGACAAGGCAGUGCCGCGAAGCUACCAUCUGCUGGAUAAUGGCUGAACGCCUCUAAGUCAGAAUCCAUGCCAGAACGCGGCGAUUUCCUCCCACACAUCGUAGUCGGAUACGAAUAGGCCUAUGGCCCUGAAUCUUAGCUAGUUGGCAAUGGGACAGCGGGAGAAGUCCACUGUCUCAGCUGACGCCUUGCAAUUUUACCAUGCGUGGGGAUAAAACCUUUGCAUACGACUUAGUUAUAUCAGACGGUGCUGUAAAUAGUAGAGUAGUCUUGUUAUUACGAUCUAUUGAGGCUAAGCCGCGCUGAUUUAGUUUUGU